rnacentral:rRNA from 1 species
GACGAAGGGGGCUAGCGUUGUUCGGAAUUACUGGGCGUAAAGCGCGUGUAGGCGGUUGCCAUAGUCAGGUGUGAAAGCCUUGAGCUCAACUCAAGAAAUGCACUUGAUACUGGGCGACUAGAGGACCGGAGAGGAUAGUGGAAUUCCCAGUGUAGUGGUGAAAUACGUAGAGAUUGGGAAGAACACCAGUGGCGAAGGCGGCUCACUGGCCCGUUACCGACGCUCAGGCGCGACAGCGUGGGGAGCAAACAGG